UCCUGUGCCUUGUGAUACACAGCCAACCAGCCAUUGUUUCAUCAUUUUGCAUCAUAGCAUGUUUACUUUCAAAAAAAAUGCAUAAAAAAGAAAAAAAGUUAACCCGCAUAUGCAUAUCAUUUUUUAGGUUUAUUCAGGAGUCUGUUCACACCGUGAGAUGGCUGCCAUUCCAAAGUUGAAGAGGAAGACUUGCACCUAC
rnacentral:lncRNA from 1 species